AUUGAACGCUGGCGGCAUGCCUUACACAUGCAAGUCGAACGGCAGCGGACCUUCGGGUGCCGGCGAGUGGCGAACGGGUGAGUAAUAUAUCGGAACGUACCUUUCAGUGGGGGAUAACGUAGCGAAAGUUACGCUAAUACCGCAUAUUCUGUGAGCAGGAAAGACAGGGGAGUCGCAAGACCUUGCGCUGAUUGAGCGGCCGAUAUCAGAUUAGCUAGUUGGUGAGGUAAAGGCUCACCAAGGCGACGAUCUGUAGCGGGUCUGAGAGGAUGAUCCGCCACACUGGAACUGAGACACGGUCCAGACUCCUACGGGAGGCAGCAGUAGGGGUAAGUUUUAGGACAAUGGGCGCAAGCCUGAU
rnacentral:rRNA from 1 species